rnacentral:rRNA from 1 species
UACAGAGGGGGGCAAGCGUUGUUCGGAAUUACUGGGCGUAAAGGGCGCGUAGGCGGCCUUCUAAGUCGAACGUGAAAUCCCUGGGCUCAACCCAGGAACUGCGUCCGAUACUGGGAGGCUUGAAUCCGGGAGAGGGAUGCGGAAUUCCAGGUGUAGCGGUGAAAUGCGUAGAUAUCUGGAGGAACACCGGUGGCGAAGGCGGCAUCCUGGACCGGCAUUGACGCUGAGGCGCGAAAGCCAGGGGAGCAAACGGG